AUUCUUUAAUCUUUAGCUCAAGCUUCUACUAAUGCACAGCAGGCAAGCCAUUGUAUAAAACUGGUUGGUGCUCGCUGUAAUAGAAAAAGAUGAUGAUUAUCCAUCUUGUGUUGCUUCAUGCUGCGGAUGAGAUGCUCAGUGUGGACCCUUAGCCAUGGCAUGGACUGUGUCUCCCUUACAGAGGUUUACAUAAUCCUGGACUAGGCCGUAUCCUGAGCAGUUGCUGUGGUGGUCAAGGAGGAGUGGAGAGCAUGAGACUGAUCCAUUGACAGACGAGUUCUCGCAUUGAUCUUGAAAGGACAGCCUAUACACCAGCUGGUGACCUCUCCCAGAUGCAGCUUCUCCACGAAGGAUGUCCAGCCUCCGGCACCUAAACUGCAGCUCUGCACAAGACGUUUAACCAUAGGACAAAUGGUCAUGCCCAGCUGAGCCUGGUUUCUCUCUAAGUUUUUUAAUUCUUCAUUUUCGCCAAUUGGUAAAGUUUUUUUUUUUCCUCGCCGCUGUCGCCACUGGCUUGGACUGACAUUUCAGUUUACUACAAUCUUCUAUGUGAAGCUGCUUUGACACAAUCUACAUUGUAAUAGUGCUACAGAAAUGAAGUUGAACCAAAUUACCACCUGAGUUGCUUAAGCUGCUACAACCACCAGAGCUCUUAUUGCUAGGGCUGCCACCACCACCACCAGUUCUGCCAGAUUCUCCUUCACUCUCAGAGCUGCCAGAAUCUCCUUCGCUCCUAGAGGGGCGCUCUGUCACAAGCACCAGCAAUCCAGCAACUGCGGAUCUCAAGACAACUACACACACUAUCGAACCGUCAUGCGCCUCGCAUGUUCCAGAUAACAAUUAAUUACAUACACACAGCCAGAGGAUUUGUCAAGGAUUGAUUACAGCACACACACAUACGCAUCAGUCUUCUUUACUGUUUUUGUGACAUUAUAAUGCAUUUCCUUUGCCUUGACUCGCUUUUGUUCUAUUCAUUAUGUUGCAUACUGUCUGUACAAACCAUUUGCCUGUUAUUUGACCAUGAAUCUAGAUUACCUAUAUGUAUCUGUUUGACCCUGUUGACCGUUGCCUGCCUGGCCAUUCUCAUAAUAAACCUGCAUUUGAAUUCUCAA